GGACAAUUAGCAUAGCCUCAGCCUGCUGUCUAUAUAAGGCGAGCGCUUGAGGUUCCCCUGUCCCUGUUCAAGAGAGCUGUACAGUAAACGCUUUGCUGCAAAAGGAUCCUGGUGUCCGCGUGCAUUCUUGCAGGCGAGACGAUAGCAUGGGACACUGAGUUGACUGAAAGUUAGCACAGGGUGUGAAGGAAUCAAAUUCUUCUGCAAGACUUGCUUGAUGAAGAUUUAAAUCGUGGUAUAAACUCAUUCUCCUUCUGAGAACGUCAUCUCCAGGGACCAGAGGACAUACAAGACAUCAGUUUAAGCAGACCAAAGCAUCCAUGUGAGACCAAAACCUAAAACUACUAGAGCAAAGCACAAAGAGUCUUCAAGAUAUGAGUGCAGGAACCACAAGCUGCUAACUGUUGCCAGAAACUUGAUGACCUUGGAAAUAUCCCACCUACAGCUGCCCUGAGCUCAGCCAACG
ensembl:lncRNA LOC108351242 uncharacterized LOC108351242